ensembl:lncRNA
CGACCCUGGGCUGGACGCUGCUUCGUCCACGGAGAAAGCCCAUUCUCCGGUCCACAAUGCGAAGUUGAUGUUUUUCCUCAGCCACCAGCACAGAUCAGCUCCAGGCAUGACGAAGCGGAUAUCUUCCUCUUUUGGAAGACCAAACAAAGUAGUUCUGCGUUCACAGUGAAACACACAGCGUCUAUACGACAUGGCGGCGGAGGCAACAACAAUACAACAACGAGAAUAAAAGAUAAGUGUUUUUCCUCCAGGCCUCAGCGGGGAGAGCGGAGGAUGUCAGCAGAGAGACGAGAUGCUGUAAUGACCGCUGGUAAACAAACAGCCUGCUCUCAUGCACUGGAGGAAUACCAACCUAAAAUCAAGGGUAAAUUUAAUCUCCAGAACAACACACGUAUAUUAGAAAUAUUGGAAUACAAGCCAAUUCAAACUUGUGCUCACUACAACAUUAAUGAUAAAGACAAAGAGAAACGAUAUUGUUGGAAUCAUAUUUCCAAGUGAUGUACGAUAAAAACAAUGAGAGUCAAUUAGAAUCCUAUGGAAUCCCAUUAUCACCUGAAAAAAAAAAAAAAAAGUUAAUGGCAACUUUUUAUUUACAAAAAAAAUUUCUCUUUUAUAUCUCAAAAUUCUGACUUUCUUUCUUGCAAUUCUGACUUUCUUUUUUUUUAACAUGUAGCAUUUCAGUUUCUUUGUUUCCUUCACAAUUUCUUUGUUUCUCACAAUUCUGACUUUAUUUCUCACAAUUGUGAGUUUAUAUUUAACUAUUCUGACUUUUCAUCUCAGAAUUGCUAGUUUAUAUCUCAGGUUAUAUCUGAAGAAAGUCUGAAUUGUGAGUAAAAAGUCAAAUUUGUGAGAUAUGAACACAGAAUUGCAAGAAAAAAUGACAAAAUUGUGAGAUAUAAAAUUAAAAUUGCCGGAAAAAAACAUUUGUGAAACAAACUCUGAAUGAUAAGACUGCAAGAAAAAGGCAGCGAUAUAAAAUUAGAGUAAUGAGAAAUAGACAAAAUUGUGAGAUAUUAACUUAGAAUUGCAAGAUACUGUAUAUACUCAGAAUUGCAAGAGAAAAAACAAACAAAAUUGUGAGAUAUAAAAUUAGAAUUGCAAGAUAGUAACUCUGAAUCACAAAAUAAAACCUCAGAAUUGUGAGGAAAAAAACAAAAUUGUGACAUAUAAGGAAAAAGACAAAAUUGCAAGAUAUAAACUCAGAAUUCCGACUUUUUGUUUACAUCUAAAAUUCUACGUUUUCAAGUUUUUUCUUGCAAUUCUAAAUUUCUUGCAAUUCUUUUUUUUUUCCGUCACUGAAUAAAAAAUAAAAAAGGAAAUUGCAGCUUUUUAUUUCACAAUCCUGACUUUAUUUCUCACAAUUUUGAGUUUAUAUCUUGCAGAAAAACUGAAUUGCGAUGUAAAAAGUCCAAAAAGGAGCAGACGACUUAACUGCCUCACUUGUAUACUGUAUAAUAAACAGAAAAUUAUUGUGUGUUGGUACGGACACUACUAUAGUUAUCGUUAUAGUUAUCGUUCUUGGUGUGAACAGUCCUUUAACCUUGUUUUUCCAGCGGACUUGUUUCAUAUAUUUAAAUUGGGCAUAUACGUGUUCUUUGUGUCCGACUGCAGCAAGCAAAUAAGGAUUUCUGCUAUUGUGGUCGGAUCCAUCCCUAGAGUGGGAAGGAAAAGUAAAUUUGUUCUUAUUUAACCGGAGCUGUCUGUUUGGUUCCGCCUCAGUGGGUUAAACCCAGCAGAAAGUCCUCGGGGAAUCUGUUGCCGCCCUCCCGCAUUCGCCUUUACCUACCUCACUUCCUCUCUCACGCAUUAUUCAUCAUUUAAUCUCACAUUCCCUCUGUGUAAAUACAGCCCGGGCCUUUUCGUCCAUCCCUUCCUGUCAGCAAAUACACCGCUUCAGUGACAUGCAACAUCCUGUCGGCUGGAAUUUUAAAAAUCAUAAUAUUAUAAUUUAAUCUAAAUACCUUUGAACUGCUCUUCGCUCUUCAUUAAUAUGUUAUAGUCAGGAGGCUGGAGACUUUUCCCACUGAAAAUCUGUGAAACAGAUGAAAACAUGAUAAAAUGUGUUAAAUCAUGGUGUCUGUGGAUGGUUAAAGAGCAUUAAAAUGUUUUACAAUCACUUUUUAAGCUUCAUAAAUUUACAUUCACAAAUUUAAGGGCAUAAAAAGUCUUGAAUAUCUUUAGUAACAUAGAAAUUAGUCUUAAAUGUAGUUUACGGAGUUCUUUAAUAACACUUUUAUUAUGGCAGUUUCACACUGCUGCUAAGUGAGCUCUGAGAUAAAGACGCAGCGCCGCAUGUAAAUGAAGUGCCUUCAGAGCAGCCUAAAACUUUGUCACUGUUAUUCAGUUUGGUUUUUUAUUGGCUGUGCAUGAAGAUCAAGAAUCAACUUUUGAGCUGGAAAUAUACUGUGAUGCAUUACAAAGUGUGUAAACGUAUGAUACAGUAUAUAGUUUAUUGGAAUAUACACUGAUUCAGAUUCUUUGCCUUUUAAAUGUUAAUACAGCUAAAGACUGCAUUUGCUUAUAUUAAUUUAUAUACUAACUUCCACUGCCAAAAAUAGGAUACAAUAUUAAAUAGCCCUAAUAACCUUUCAUACC